UUACUCUCAGACUUUUUAUUAGUCAGACUGCUGCAUCUGACCGCCUUCUCGGAGAUGUGGCCAUGUUCAGCCCUAAGGAGAUAAGUAUUUUCAAGCAAUGAUUUAAAAAUAGCUAAAAUACCCUUUGUGGGAGAAAAGAGGCAAAGGGGCACAUGCAAUCCAUUCUCAUCCACCACAGAUUCACCUCUUACACCUGUUUUUCAUCCUUUGCUGUUAGUUGUGCUUUAGCAAUUUCCCUUUUUUUCCCUUCUUUCUCUUUUUUUUUUUUUUUUUUUUCCCCCCAGGUCCCCAUCAGUUCCGAGUAGAUGUGUGGAAGAACCAUAAAAGUAAGAAGAGAGCCUGAAGGACACGACUUGGACUCACUUUUCCAAGAGCCCUUCACCCAGAAGAAGGCAGAAUUGCCUUUUCAGUCCUGCUUACACGAGCAUCCAAGCUGUGUCCUCCUGCAGCUCUGCAAGGAAUCACACCAAAAUCAUGGGGAAGCACGAUGAGUCACAUGCGGGGUGCAAACCCAAAGUGCCUGAGACGAGCACAUGAGUGGGAUGGGAGUCAGCCCUGAAAUGAGGGGAGACAAAUGUUGCAACAACACGACGAGCGUGAGAGCAGCCAUAUUGGAUCAGACCAAUGGUCCGCCUACAACAUGGCCAGAAGUGAUGUCUGGAAUAUGGGAACCUUCUCCCUUGGUGCUCUUCCAGCGCUUGGGAGUCAUGGGCAAGCAUUUCCAAAGACUAUACAAGCCCAUCGUGGCUCCUGGGGUUUGCUGACUCUGAGGUCUGUUGCAGCAUCCAUAUUGCAUCGCCACUUGAACCAGGCACCGAGGCUUAUGGGAAUGAAGUCAGUCGCAGAGGUGACCUGGGGACACGUGAAUCACCUCGAAGCAGCCCUGGACUUUUGCCUCAUGUCUAUACCAGGUGUUUCACGACACAGUUUGCUUUAUGCAUACCUCUUUCUUGAGAUACUGGGAACCAAAAAAAAAAAAAAAAAUAGCAGGCUGCUUCAUUUUCUCUCCGUUGGUCAUUAAAAUAGUAUAGAUGCUUUAUAACACGCAUGCCGCAGCUCAGGUCCAAAUAGGGGUUAGGAGGAAACUCAGCGUGCUGGCAGUAAAAAAAUACCAAAACAACCACCCCCCCCCGCUUCCCUCCUAACUACAGUUUGACAUCAUGAGCCGGCGAGCGAGUGGUAUUUAUUAAUCUCAUCCCCUGGAGCCAACAACACCGCCGAGUCAGGGUCCGGGAAAAUCUCUGAGUCACAUGGAGAUGCAAAGCCAGGAAAUGUCAGUGAAAGAUAAAGAAGCAAAUAAAGAAGUAAAUAUUAAGGCAAGAGAAAUUGGAAGCUGGUGGCAGCUUCCUGGAAGAAGCCGCAAGCAUUGAGAGGCAGCCCGGGCUGGCUGGGGCUAGGAGCAGACUGUAGUCUUGGGUUAAAUGUCAGUGUGGAGCUUGGUUGGCAAACGAAGGCACAUCUUGCCUCACAAUGUAAAAGAGGAGCACUCAAAUCUGACCCACAGCCCUGGAAUGUAAACUGGAGUCCUUCUUCUAAUUGCAAAAGCAGCCAGUGCCUCUGCUGGGGGAGCGGGACCUGUUUCGGUCUCUGUUAGUUCUCAUACCAGGUCCAAUCUUGUGAUUUAUGGGCUAGGGCUGGAUGAUGCCAGUGGCUUUGGACUCCUGGUGGCUCCAAAGGCAGCUGCUUUCAGCUCAGGACUGGGCUGAGAGGGGGCUUUUAGUGUGAAGCACAGCUUUGGAUGGGCAAAAAUCACUGCAAAUUCUGCCUGAGUUCAGCAAAUGAUUGCAGAUGAAAAGAAAAAAGUGGGAAACAUCAUACACAUAUAUUUUUUAAAGCUAGGAUUCAGGCAUCUUCUGGCAGGCCCUGCCUCCUAAAGUUCAUGCAGUUUUCUUCCAUUCUUUGCUUGGGAUGGGAGGUUUUUGUCUCUAGGCAAGUAGCAGAAAGGGGAAAUUUGAGGGAAGAUGCAGAGGAACCAAGGACCCAGGAGGCCCUGCUGCUCAGCAUCGGUUGUCCCUGUCCCUGCAGGCUGAGCUGCAGGUGCUGGGUUGGGGUGUCUGAAACACCAAGAUGCCAAGGCUGCAUGUGACUUGAAAAAUUACACAGAAAAUGUAUAUAUAUAUUUAU